rnacentral:rRNA from 1 species
UACAGAGGUCUCAAGCGUUGUUCGGAUUCAUUGGGCGUAAAGGGCGCGUAGGCUGCGGGGCAAGUCGGGUGUGAAAUCUCAGAGCUCAACUCUGAAACUGCAUUCGAUACUGCCGUGCUUGAGGACUGGAGAGGAGACUGGAAUUUACGGUGUAGCGGUGAAAUGCGUAGAUAUCGUAAGGAAGACCAGUGGCGAAGGCGGGUCUCUGGACAGUUCCUGACGCUGAGGCACGAAGGCCAGGGGAGCAAACGGG